GCUGGAUUCAGAUAUGGAUUUCAGAUACUUAACAUUUAGUCCAACAGAUAAUGCAAAUAACCAGAAGACAUGUGAUAAUAACAUGCUGUUUUGAGAGAGUACUGCAAUUUUAGUCCCUUAAAACGGUGUCACCACCCGUUUAAAUGUCAAAAUUCUUUUGAGGCUCAAGAAAUGAAGAUAGUGGUGAAGUGUUCAGAACUUCAUGGCCAACAGACAAUUUACAAUGCUAAACAAGUCACAACAAAAUUGUGGACAUAAUCAAGGACUAAAAUUGAAUAAUCACAUCGACUGAGUUCACAACCAAGAUGUCUAACUGGAGAAAAGCACCACACUUCUACAAGGUUUGUUGACCAGAUCUUAUUGCAGAAAACAAUUUUCAAACUACAGAGAAUGCAGCACACUGAAAGCAAAUAAUAACAGAUUUUAGCACUUUCUGAUAUUAUUCCAGCAUUAAGUAUUUGCUCAGAUAAAUUACGGAAUCUCUCUGACAUGCAUUAUCAUGAUACACAGUACAUUAGAAAGUCUACUCUGCUAUAACUGUAAAUUCAUGUACUGUCAUUUACCACGUGCAUUAUUUAAUGAGUUCAAAUAGCAAAUAUUACAAGAAAAUGUUGUCAAUGCCUAGUAAAUUAGCAAAGAAUGUUGCAACUGUAAUUGAAUAGUAUAUCUCCAAUUUCAUGUAUAUGAAAGGAGAUGCAGCUGAGAACAUUACAGA